AUUGAACGCUGGCGGCAGGCCUAACACAUGCAAGUCGAGCGGAUGAAGGGAGCUUGCUCCUCGAUUCAGCGGCGGACGGGUGAGUAAGUCCUAGGUAGCUGCCUGGUAGUGGGGGAUAGCGUCCGGUUACGGGCGCUAAUACCGCAUACGUCCUGAGGGAGAAAGUUGGGGAUCUUCGGACCUCGCGCUAUCAGCUGAGCCUAGGUCGGAUUAGCUAGUUGGUGGGGUAAAUGCCUACCAAGGCGACGAUCCGUAACUGGUCUGAGAGGAUGAUCAGUCACACUGGAACUGAGCCACGGUCCAGACUCCUACGGGAGGCAGCAGUGGGGAAUAUUGGACAAUGGGCGAAAGCCUGAUCCAGCCAUGCCGCGUGUGUGAAGAAGGUCUUCGGAUUGUAAAGAACUUUAAGUUGGGAGGAAGGGCAGUAAGUUAAUACCUUGAUGUUUUGACGUUACCAACAGAAUAAGCACCGGCUAACUUCGUG
rnacentral:rRNA from 1 species